CCACACCGCCCGUCCACACCAUGGGAGGUUGAUUGCACCAGAAGUAGGUAGCCUAACCGCAAGGAGGGCGCUUACCACGGUGUGGUCAAUGACUGGGGUG
rnacentral:rRNA from 1 species